rnacentral:lncRNA from 1 species
GCGAGGCGUCUCCUUGGUCGUUACCCGUAGUUACCAACUGAGGCAAGUGGAUUUACUUACCAUCACGUGAAUGCCCGCUGCUUGUUAGGUAUGCAUCUAAUAGCUUGUGGAUUAACGUUGCUCCACGAAUGAAUGAUAAAUGGUGCUGCCCAAGCCACGGUGUGGUAAACAUUGAUGGUUUGGAUGGAUGGUUAGGAUGCACAUUUUUUUCACUUUCUAACUCUCUCGAAACUAUUUAUGACAAAUAAUAAUCCAUAUCUAAUUCCGAACUAAAUAAGCACAUCGUCGAUAAUCUCACCAUUAAUUCACCCCUCUUCCGAAAAAAUCAGAUGAUUGAGAAGAUGGGGAUUGUAUCGUAGUUCACGAGAAUUAAUUAGGGGAAAAGAAAUGAAAAAAAAAACCCUAUAAAGAAAGAAAGAAAGAAAGUAACCAGAUAGACCGUACAACAUACAGAAGAGAUAAGGGCGAAAUGGAGGGAGGAAGGGAUCAGAUUCACUUUCAGUGUCUGAUCAACAGAGAAAGAAGCUGAUUCACAGCCAUUCAUUGAUUCUUCUUCAGUGGGAUGAACACUAUGUCCGAACACCUUUCAAAACCAUAUAAACUCUAGAACUGGACGGCGGCUUUGAAAGCUUACAGAUAGAUGGAGCGAAUCUGGAGGAAAGAAAAUGUUAGGGACCAGUACCGUCAUUUCCUUCUUCAAAAAUUAAAUUUAUUUACUCACCAGGGCAGUCACCACACAAUAAACCCUAGAUCAGAAGCAAGCGAGGGUACAGUAAGAGUCAGAAUAUAAGAAAUUAGGUCUUUGAAUUUGGGGAAGGGGCAGAUUCAUUGCGUGGGUAACCCUAGGAGAGAGAUAAAGAAGAUAAGAGAUGCGUACGUACAAUGAUUUAUUAUUAUUGGUGGAAUGGUGGGUGGUGAUUAAUCAAUCCCCAGUGAGCCACUAACUAUGCAGCAGCAGCAGCAGCAGCAGAAGAAGAAGAAGAAGAAGAAGAAGAAGAAGAAUAAGGGGUAGAAGCAUAAAACCAAACCCUACAAACCAAAGGAAAAGACAGCAUAAGACUGAGAUCGAAGAGAUAAUGCUUUGGAUUCAUAUGAGAAGCCAUUUUUCAUAUGAGAAAUUAUAACAACAACCAGGCAGCAGCACCACAUACCCACAUUAAUUGCCUAUCGCUUUCCUCCCUCUUUCCUUCCCCUCGUCUUCUUCCUUUUUCUCUCCUAGAAAAAAGCUAUGGAAAGUGACCCCUUUCUUUCCUUCCACCUUUAUUCCAAAACCCUAUUUCUUGUUUUCUUUUUCUUCUUCUCCUCCUUGGUUGCUUUGUUAUUAUGAAAGUCUCAUAUACUACAAUAAUAAUGCUGUCCAUUUGAUUUGGAUUCUUUC